GUGCUCGCUUCGACAGCACAUAUAUGAAAAUUGGAACGACACAGAAUAGAUUACAUGGCCCUGUGCGAGGAUAACAUGGAAAUUCAUGAAGCAGUUCAUAUUUAA
ensembl:snRNA U6 U6 spliceosomal RNA